rnacentral:rRNA from 1 species
CAUGCCUUACACAUGCAAGUCGAAUGGCAGCACGGGAGCAAUCCUGGUGGCGAGUGGCGAACGGGUGAGUAAUAUAUCGGAACGUGCCCAGUCGUGGGGGAUAACGUAGCGAAAGCUACGCUAAUACCGCAUACGAUCUACGGAUGAAAGCGGGGGAUCGCAAGACCUCGCGCGAUUGGAGCGGCCGAUAUCAGAUUAGGUAGUUGGUGGGGUAAAGGCUCACCAAGCCAACGAUCUGUAGCUGGUCUGAGAGGACGACCAGCCACACUGGGACUGAGACACGGCCCAGACUCCUACGGGAGGCAGCAGUGAGGAAUUUUGGACAAUGGGCGCAAGCCUGAUCCAGCAAUGCCGCGUGCAGGAUGAAGGCCUUCGGGUUGUAAACUGCUUUUGUACGGAACGAAACGGUGAGCUCUAAUACAGUUUGCUAAUGACGGUACCGUAAGAAUAAGCACCGACUAACUACGUG